ACACUUGUGAACUGAAGGUUGCCUGUAGUUAUGCCCUGCUGUCUGCUGGCCCUUCUUCUGGGCACUUUCUUGGGUGUCAGCGCUCAGACCAUCCAUCAAUGGCCACCCACCAGGGUGCAGCCUGCAGGCAGCCCGCUCUCUCUGGAGUGCACCGUGAAGGGGACGUCAAACCCCACCCUGUACUGGUACCGGCAGGAGGCAGGGGGGAGCCUCCAGCUGCUCUUCUACUCUGUUAGUGCUGAGGACAUAGAUCCCAGGGAGUUCCAGAACUUCGAAGCUUCCAGGCCCCAGGACGGCCAGUUUAUCCUGAGUUCUAAGAAGCUGCAGCUCAAUAACUCUGGCUUCUAUCUCUGCGCCUGGAGUCUCACACUGAGCUGGGUGGGGCAGACAUCUGUGCAAAAACCCCACCGUCAUCACCCCCUCCAGAAGCCCUCACUCAGGGACUAGGCAGAGGGUGUUUGUCACUGGGUUUCUGACUGUCAGCCAACGUGAGGGUGACAGACUCAAGCCAGAGUCUCCAAAAGAACUUUACUACGUUCUUGUUUCCUGUUUAGUCACCCAGUCGUGUCUGACUCUUUUGCGACCCCAUGGACUGCAGCCCGCCCGGCUCCUCUGUCCAUGGGAUUUCCCAGGCAAGAAUACUGGAGUGGGUUGCCAUUCCCUUCUCCAGGGAAUCUUCCCAAGCCAGGGAUUGAACCUGCGUCUCCUGCAUUGGCAGGUGGGUUCUUCACCACUGAGCCACCAGAGAAGCCCCACCACAUUCGUAGGGAGCAGGGGAAAGAUUUAUGUGUGGAGAACCAGUGAUAUGCAGGCACACAGUUAAGUUCCUGAUGUGCAGAUGUCUAGUCUAGGCUAUCAUGCUUCAGCCCUGAACGUGUGCUAUUCCUUGCCCAUCACCCUCUUCUCCCACAUUCCUGUGGGUCUACACUGGCGGCUGAGGUUGUGCUUAUGCUGACGAGAGACAGAGGAAUAGCAUGCACUGCACUGGGAUGUGAUGUGAUGGGAGACCAGUGAGCAACUCUGCGGAUGCCAACUCGGGUUACCUAAUUAGUAACUUUUCAUCACCUGGAAAAGUCCUUGCUGUUUCUGCGGAGAAUAGACACCUUGUGGAGGCUGGGAUGCGGCUUUGGGCCAGGGAAGGAGCAAGAUGUUAUUGUAGCAGCUACGAGAGUGAUUUUGUUAGUAUCAGAAAUGUGUACUUAGGAACGUUGAUUAUUGUUUGGGGUUUUAGAUUUUUUUUUUUUAAUUCCUGUUCUAUUGUGUCUCCUUCCUCUCCUUAUAGCAAUGGAGGGAGCAGAGAAGCAGAUGGUGAUCAAAGAGAUGCAAGAGACCAGAUAAAAAGAGCAUGUGUGUGUAAAGGCAAAGCCCUGAAAGAAAUUACUUGGAUGGAAAUAAAGAAGAAGAAAGACUUAUGGGGAUGGCUGGAAAGAGAUACCAUAGUUACCUUGGCAACUGAGCCUCCUUCCUCAUCCCACAGCCCCUCAUCCCUCCCUCCUCCUCCUCAUUCCUAAAAAGAUUUUCUUUUCUAAUGUCCCUUCUGUUCCACGAGGGGGCACAAGAAGUCUUAAAAUACUCUGUUCCUGGCAUCAUUUCAUUUAGGACAAUUCAGACAUUUGUUUGUUUUCAGUACCAUUUAACCUGCAGAAUAAAAUCAGACAGAGACACAAAGCAAUCAAGCCAGUAUUGAAUAAUGCCCAAGGGUCCUGUUGGUUCUUAAGGUCUACCAUGUUUUAAGCGGAUAUAUGUGCUGGACACUCAGAGCCAACACAGGGAUUAAAAAGAGGAAUGAAAUACACUCAAGAUGGUGCUGGGUAUGGUCACAGCAUGGUGUAGUUAAGACCCUCGCAAUUUGAGAUUAGCAGAUACAUACUACUGCAUACAAAAUAGACAAAUGCCAAGGUCCUACUGUACAGUACAGAGAACUAUAUUCAAUAUUCUAUAAUAAACCAUAAUGGAAAAGAAUAUGAAAAAGGAUAAAUAUAUAUACAUGUAUAACUGAGUCUCCUUGCUGUUACCAGAAGUUAACACAACAUUGUAAAUCAACUAUACUUCAAGAAAAAGAAUAAAAAAUAGAAGUUGCAGGAAAAAAACCAAGGCACUUGGUUGGUUUUUCCCCCCCGCCCAUGUGUGAAAAUUUAAAUUUACUAAGUCAAUCAGCAAUGCUUACAGCCAUAAAAAUAAAGGUGUAUUUACAACUCAAGUUUGGUUCACAUUUAGCAAUAAACAGCAUGUUAAGCCAA